AAGCCGUCCACUGGACAGCGAGAUGAAUGCAUGCAUGGCCUGAAGGGUCGCAGAGGUGAGUGAGCUCAUCGGAGGUUGACAGAAGAGAGUGAGCACCCAUGGUGUUUUCUUGCAUGGAAAGGGAGAGACAGAGUCCAUGCUCCAAAGCUAUGCGUGCUCGCUCCUCUAUCUGUCAGCCACCACCGGUCGAUGCCGUCUUCCGGUUGUACUUUCCUUGCUACUAACCCUACACCUUGAUUCAUUAUUUGACUUGCAAUGAAGAACAGAUGGCCGAAGAUCACUGGAACUGUUCUUUUCUUACUGCAACAUUUUGAGCAGUACUACGGGCUUUAUGAUUCUUAGAAGUUGAUCGGUUCUGUCUCAAAUCAAGCUUGGUUGGGAUCAGGAUUUUUAUGAUCAACCCACUCAGAUUCUAUGUGAUCUAUUGUCUCGAACUUAUCUUUGACAUCAAAGACCGCUGUUUUCAUCUUCAAGCCUAACUAAGCCCUGUUGAGUUGUGUAUGUCUAAGAAAACUAGCAAUAGAAGAAACCAUCUGGCGACCUUUUGAUGACAAAAUAGUUGUCUUGGUGGCUAAAUCUUUCCAUCUUUUUUUUUUCCCUCAUAUUUGUUGGGGUUGAAAAUUUGAAGCCUAUUUCUUGGACAAACUGGACAGUCUCCGUAGCGGUUGACUUUUGAGAUUCCAAGUCAAAUCCUGUUGACAAUAACUAAAACCACAAGGACAACACACAAAACCUGUGUGCUACGGGACAGGACACAGAUUUUUGGAUUAGGUCUGGCCUUGAGAGAAGAAAAGGAAGAAGAAGAAGAAGAAAAAGUGGUAUAUCCAUCCAAUUCCCCCAUUUCCUCUAUCGUUUUCAUCCUGUUGGAGGCCAAGGAUCUAAAAACGGGCAGCAGAUGGUGGAACGCGAUUCAAAGUGGAUGCAACAGCGCAGGCGGCGGGUUCUUCUUCUUCUUCUUCUUCUUCUUCUUCUUCUUCUUCUUCUUCUUCUUUGCGUGAGGAGUCGGCUGAUGGCGUUGGUCGAUAGGGCGGCGGGAGACAGACGGAGUUGCUCGUAAGGAGGAGAACUCUUGCUCUCACGCCCGCCCUCUCUCUCUCUCUCUCUGCUUCUCGUCCUCGUUCUUCUGCAGAUUUUGUAGAAGAAGUUGAUAUCGGAAGGAACGCAGGCGAAUGAGACAAUGGUUUCCCCUUAUCAAAGAACAAGAAUGAGGCCGUCCCUGUCCGCGGCGCCCAAUGCUACAGAACAACGAGCACUCGGACGCGUAAGAACGGAGAUGAAGAAGAGGAAAACAGAGGAAUCGAAGAUUGAAGGCCGGAAGCGAGAUCGCGCAGAUUGAGGUUGUCUUGCGGCUUGUUGAUGCUCAUUCGUCGCUCACCGAUGCCGUUCCGCUUCCUCCUCUUCGGGAUCGAGAUCGACAUCGAGAUGCACGGAGCAAAGAACCUAAACAGCGUUAACGCUACACCACAAAGGGGACAGCAGAGGGAAAGAAGACUCAGAUGGGAGAGAUUUAUAGCAUAUAACGUUUGAAAUUAACGGUAUACGUCUCGACAGUGUAUAACGUGCAUGCCGAAAGUUUUAUUUGCUGUAACAUAUAUCAGUGCGUCACAAGCACGUGCUGUUCACAUUAAAAUGCACGUACAUGGAGUUCAUUCAA